GCCCCUCCUACACUGCAAGAACCAACCAGAUCUACUUGUGUUAAAGCCUAGGUGGCACUGAUGUGCAGUCAAGACCUAUAAAGCUGCAGAGCUCACAGAUGAAUUCUCACAUUCUGGCAUUACAGGAAGAGUGUUCAUCGUACAAGUUAUGAACAGGAAUCCCACUACAUCAUUUUCAGCUUUUUGUGCCAUGCUCUAAAUUUAUCUUCGAUUACCUCAUCAAUGCUAUUAUAAUAGGACAGUUCUAGGAGUCUUGGGGGGGGGGGUCCCGCCUGACCCUGUAUGAGUGCUGCUAAGACCUGAGAAUUGGAUUACAGCUUAUCCAUAUCAGCAGCUGUAGCUUCCUAACAAAGCUUGUGGGCCCCUGGGCAUAUUUCAAGCAAGCCAGAAUUCACCAAGGACACUCCUAACUGGAAAAGUGGAAUGGCAGAGGAAAAUCUGGUGCCAUAAUCCUCUUUCCCCACACCACAUUACCUGAUGCUCCAGCAUACUGACUGACUAACACUACACAUAAAGAAUAAGAGGAAUGCUGCAAACCAGUGUGGGCCUUGUCUUAACAUGUAUCUCUGCAUUUGAAAGGAGUUAAGGCAUGUCAACACGCAAGAGGUCCCGAGGGACUGAGACGAUGGUGCCUUUGUGUGGAUGGAACUGUCAAGAUGAAAGAUUCUCUCCCUCAAACUUUAAACAUCACAGAAUCCUAUGAAGGUAGACUCAAAUGUAAGAAAACGAUUGCUAUUUUUCCUCAGUGAUCGGGUCAGAUGCCACCCUGCCCACCUUCUCAGAAUGACUGGUCGUAUUUGUUCAUCUACAGGGCUGACUGACCUCAUAAAAACAAGAAAUUACAUCUACUGAAGUAUCAAAGGUCUGCAUUGCUUAAUGACCUUUACUUGAACCAUAGACAAAUAAAGCCAGACUCUCUGUUUCAGGUGCUGCCAAGGCUGUAUGGCUCUCCUGUAUUUGAUGUCUGCUUAAGUUAUGUAUGGGAAUAGGGCAGGGUGAACCGUCUGUGGUAAGACUGGCUGUCUGCUUUCCGAAACACAUGACGGCAAAGGUAGCAGGAUACCCUGGGACAGAAGCGUGUAGUAACCAUGGCAGCUUUCUAUUUCAAGUGCUCUGACAUCACCUAGUGGUGAGAUCUGUAAUAUUCCUCAAUCUGCCAUAUGUUCUGUGAUGACAUUGAAUUAUGAAAACUAUGAAAUGUGAUACAACAGUGAGAUGUGGAAAAGGCUAUUUGGAUCCAUUAACCUCAA